rnacentral:misc_RNA from 1 species
GAGGGACGUAACCAGCUCUGGGCUGAGAACAUUUGUAUGUCUGUCGGCCUGUCCAUCAACACCAGUGAAAUGCCCCAGGCUCGAGGAUUCUCCGCACCCAAAUGAAUAGACAUCCCCAUCCUCAGAUACCACGAAAGUUGUGUAAUCACCUGUUGCUACAUGUACAGCCUUAAUUUUACUCAGGGACUCCACCACCUUCGGGACAGACUCACAUUCCUCAUUCCCAUGGCCCAAGCAGCCAUAACGUGCCCAACCCCAUGUGCACACCCGGCCAUCCCGGCCCACAACUGCAG